UACGGGGGGGGCAAGCGUUGUUCGGAAUUACUGGGCGUAAAGGGCUCGUAGGCGGCCAACUAAGUCAGACGUGAAAUCCCUCGGCUUAACCGGGGAACUGCGUCUGAUACUGGAUGGCUUGAGUUCGGGAGAGGGAUGCGGAAUUCCAGGUGUAGCGGUGAAAUGCGUAGAUAUCUGGAGGAACACCGGUGGCGAAGGCGGUUCUCUGGGCAUGAUCUGACGCUGAGGAGCGAAAGUGUGGGGAGCGAACAGG
rnacentral:rRNA from 1 species